UCUGCUGGGUCUGUGACACUACUUAUCCGAGGAGUCCUCAAACAUCAGGAUGUAGGAAGACACAAGUAAAAGGAGAAGAAUGCUGCUCAGCUGGGUCGGCGGUCACACUACUUAUUCAAGAAGCUCUUGGAUAUCAUCGGCAUGUAUAAAGCACAGUCAUUCCGGUAGGCACGGAGUCGUUCCUCGAUGGACGUGAUGACCUGGCACCAAAACCGCUUAAUGUGUAUGAGGCUGUGUCUGCAUCGAGGGAAGAACCCAGCACUGAAAUGACACAAAUGAAAGAGGACGUCUUCUCUGCUGGGUCUGCGACACUACUUAUCCUAGGAAUCCUCAAACAUCAGGAUGUAGGAAACUUAUGGUGAGAUUCCAAGAGCCGCCAUGAGGGAUAUGCAACCUGCAGCUUCACCAUGCUUUUGGGAGAUCAUGUACUACGUGAACCUUGAGUAUCUACAAGCCAGCUACUUUAAGUCCUUGAAAGGGUAGUGAUGUCAAUUCAAGCCAGAUCACGAGACAAGGUCCUGUACAAACUGUCAAUCUAAAUGUUGCGACAUCCCUGUCAGUUCUUUUGAACUGAAUACAUGCUGUGUUUGAAAUAUAUUAUUCGGAUAACUCCCCAUCAGGGAAUACCUUGUCUGUUAAUGACGGAUGGACAUGCCAUUGACAUGCCGUGCACACUUUGAUGUUUUUUAUUUUAAUGUUUUCUAUGUUUUCCAAUGUUCUUUUUUAUUUAUGUUCUGUUAUAUGCUGGUUAUGUAAGUACUGUAUGGAAUGUAGUGACUGUAGAGACCAAGACAAAUUUCAACCUGGGGACAAAAAGUUCACACCACUCUGUUAGCGCAGUUAUGGAUGCACUGUAAAUUUUGUAAUUAACCAAAAGUACGGUGAGAAGCCUGUUUGUGCAGAUGGACCUGCUGGCGGGCCUGUUUACUCAUAGCUAAAAAGCAACAUAUUAUCUGUGCAAAAGCACAUGGGCUCUUCGAAAAGGGGUUAAACAUUUUAAUGUGCUGUUUUACAGUGUGCUAUACAAAAGGUAAGGUGAAACUAAAUUUUUGAAAUUCUAUAAUUGUACAGUGUCACUGAAAUCAAAUGGUACAUUGGUAAAACUGAACCAUUUCCUUUAAUCCCGUUUAGCAGAGCCUAUGUUUGAACUAUACUGUCACCAAUAUUGUAAUGACUGAGUUUUAACCUGUUACUUAAGGCUCUUGG